GACUAACUUUACUUUAUCCAAUUAUUAUAAACUUAUCGUUUAUUAUACGCUUCUUGUUCUGUUUAUAAUGAAUUUCUCUCGAGUAAUUAAGAUUUCGACUUGAGGUUACCAAAACUAGUUGUAGGCCACGUUCUCUCCUCGGCCGGAACAGUUUAUGGAUUGUUGUAAAAAUAUUUAAUUAUUGAGCCCUUCGCGUCUCGCUUGUUUUCCCUUCCCGAUUUUUAACAAUUAACGUCUCUUUACCUUACUCAGGUUGAUGUAUGCAAUUAUGUCUGUGACUACUGGAACCUGAAACAGCAACCUUUUUGGCAAGGAGGUCAACUUGGUCGUACUUAUUGCUGCUAUGAGCUUAUACACAAAUCAGGAACUUUUCCGCACCUUUUUUACCUAUAACCAUCAAACUGUUGAUUGCUGUAAUCAAUGAGUCCUUACUGCUGUUACCUAUAACUGCAGAAAGCAAACGGGCUGUCCAUAGGUUGCAGUGUUCUGUUGUUAUUUUAUAACCUCAAUAGCUAAGCCUUCAGCUGUAUAGAUCACAUGUAUGGUAAUCUAAUUUGAAACACGGUGCUAUCAGCAGUGUUCAGAAUCGCAGCACCAUUCCUCUGUGUUCAGUACCGUCGUUGAGGGGUAA